UUAACUCCUAAUGAGAUCCCAUCUUCUCUCAUCUUCCAUUAUUUUUUUUAAAAACUACAAAAUUAUUUCUUAACUAAGUGAUUGUGUAAAUUAACAUCAUCCAUUUUCCUCACCAGAUUUUGUGUUGCAGACGUUGCUUUCUCCACUGAAAUUAUCACUAAUAGAAUCAGAGAAUGAUGUUCGACUGGGAGAUAUCGUUGCCAUUAAUAUUGGUGAUCUUGAUAAUGGCUUUGGCUUGUUACCUGUUGGGUAGAUCCAGGGGUCGCAAACAAGUCCAGGCAACUUCUCUACCACAAACCCAACCAAGGUAACAAAAGGUCCAGAAAGAUCAUUGAUUAUAACAGUUCUGGACUUGGAAAACUGCUACGUAAUUGUAAUAACCAUCUCCUAUUGCGAUGGAUUAUUAUAUUAUUGAAUAAAUUGUUGAAGAAUUUAGUUUUGUUGUCAUUAAGGGUUGUGUUGGGUGAUUGUUUGUUUUGACAAAAUAAGAGAUGUUGGUAUGUAACUAUGUAUUCAUGAACAUCAGAAUACAUCACUUAACGUGAAUUAAUUUGCGGACCAAGAUAUAUAAAUGAAUUGGAGUUGACA